UACGUAGGGUGCGAGCGUUAAUCGGAAUUACUGGGCGUAAAGUGUGCGCAGGCGGCCGCGCAAGUCGAGUGUGAAAGCCCCGGGCUUAACUUGGGAAUUGCGCUCGAAACUACGUGGCUGGAGUGUGGCAGAGGAAGGUGGAAUUCCAGGUGUAGCGGUGAAAUGCGUAGAUAUCGGAAGGAACACCAGUGGCGAAAGCGGCUUCCUGGUCCAGCACCGACGUUCAGGCACGAAAGCGUGGGGAGCAAACAGG
rnacentral:rRNA from 1 species